rnacentral:tRNA from 1 species
UGAGCGUCGGCUUGCGGCCCGACGCCUCGUCACUCCCCGUGAUGCGGGCCGGACUACGGGCCGCUCCGGGGUUCCGCCGCCCCGUCGUCCGC